ensembl:lncRNA
UGAUAUUUGUCUCCUUAGAUACAAGCCCUGCUAAAGCUUAAAAAUCUGGAUCCAGAAAUAUGCAACGUUGUCCAGAUUCACGCAGCCUUUUUUGACAGAGGAUAUUUCUGUUUCGUCUUUGAGUACCUGGACAAAAGUCUCUUUGACUACAUGGCGGAGAACGAUUUUCGUCCUCUGCCUCUAGAGGGAAUCCGAUUAAUUGUCCAACAGGUAUGUCUCGCUGCACUUCCUUUUUCAUUAAUAGCCCCUUGGUCUAAUGUUGAAAAAGUAUUGUGAAAGUGUUUUAUUCGCUUUAAGCUUGCAGUUGCACUUCAAUCUCUGAGGAGUGUGGGACUAACACACUGUGAUAUAAAGCUGGACAAUAUUAUGCUAGUGGACCAUGAAAAGCAACCCUUCAGAAUCAAACUUAUCGACUUUGGUCUUGCAGACGUUGCAUCCAGUAUACCACAGGGCUCAGUUAUACAGGCCCUCUGUUACAGGCAAUUAUUUUGCAAAUGUUUAAAAUCAUGGAAAUCUAUAAGUAACCAAGUGUAAAAAGCAAAGUAACACCCUUUUAUAGGUCUCCAGAGGUCCUUUUGGGUCUUCCGUUGACAGAGGCUGUCGACAUGUGGUCUCUGGGCUGUGUGGUUGGAGAGUUACACCUUGGGGAUCGGCUCUUUGAUGGGAACAAUGAGUAUGACAUGGUAAGUAUAUUUGUAGUUUACUUCAUUCUUUUCUUUGAACUUUUCUGUAACGUAAACUUUUUUUUGGUGAAUAUUGUGACGUGGUGUUUUCUUUACCCACAGAUGAGGAGCAUUGUGGAACUAUUAGGUCAACCUCCGAAUCGAAUGCUAGAUGCAGGCAUAAAAACUAAUCAAUACUUUAAGAAAAGCUUGUGCCCAUGGAAUCGAUCAUGGAAACUAAAGACACACCUCAGAACAGCAGGUCAUAAGCUUCUGGAUUCUCUGGAUGACAUUUUAAGCGCCUUCCGCACUAAAGGCUGCGAAAAUCCAGACCUCAGUCUGUUUGUUGACAUGUUAAAGAAAAUGCUUGACCUUGAUCCUGCAACGCGCAUUACCCCAGCUCAACUGUUGCAACAUGGUUUUCUGACAAACACUGAGUAAGUCUACACAAAGAUCAUUCGUUUCAGUCCUAAAACCCUUGAUUUAUCCAUUUGAAAAAAUUGCAGGAUCUCAGGUAAUUUUUUAAGUCAAGUAUUUGUUGUCUUGAAGGGUGGGGACUACCUGUGAAGAGCCAGAGGUUACUGCCAGCAAGAAAAAUGGACAGUCUUUACAGUCGCAGUGGGAAAACACCCAGCACAACCAAGCAAGCCAGUUAAAAACAGGGCAGAAAAGAAAGCAUGACUAUAAAGAUGAUGACCCAACUUGUCAUGACUCCAAGCGGCCUAAAAUUCAGUCAAGGGUGACACCAAGGAAGGACACACAAAUGAAUGCUGUGAAUUCCACUGUUCAGAGGAAGCUGCCUGAUGGGAAGGAUGGUGGGCCUCAUUGCUCCACCUCGAUGGCUGUGCCCAAGUUCAGCCAACAAGCUUUGAAAAGAAGAAGGAAAUGCACAGGCAGGAAAGGAAAGAAAAAGUAACUGACUCCCUGAACACAUAUGUUGUGGGUACAGUCCCAUCUGGUCUUUCAAUCACAUAUUCACCGUGAAUUAUAAUAAAGGAAGCUGAUUUCGUUGUGUUAAACAUUAGUUUUGUUUUUUCA